AUUUAUUCGAUAAGGCUUACUGUGAAUUGUAAGGAAAUGAUAUAAAAACCAGAUACCAAAUUGUUGCAGAUACACUCAUGGUAUAAACUCUGAAACAUCAAAGUACUCAAUUGAUGAAAUUAGAAAAGCAAUACAGUUAGACUCACUUGAUAUGUUGCAGGUUAGACUCAAAUCUGAGACACGCAAAAUUGAGGUGUGAUUUGACUGUAUAGAGAUUAUGGCC
rnacentral:lncRNA from 1 species